rnacentral:ncRNA from 2 species
ACGCAACCGUAGGGAGACUCUUGGGCGCGCAAACCACGCGCACCCCAGGGCCGAAGGAGCAACCGCCCCGGUAAACUCUCAGGCAAACGGACCUGUGGUUGUGG